CCUCUGAUUCCUAAAUCUUCCAUAAUAAGUUGCAAGCAUCUCUGGGUAACAACUCGCAGACAAGCUAAGAAUAGAAAAGUCAACCACUGAAUUUCAUAUUUUGCUUUUCAUUUUCUUUCUUGGACAUGCUCACUAUGUCAAGCGGUUGCAUUUCCUGUGAGGUCAGGCACCAGACAAUAGCUUUCCAAGAGCAUGGAAACAACAGAAACCCAUGAAACAAUCCCACAUCCAGAAGCACGGAGCUGCUGGCACUCACUGAAAGGUUUCCUGACUAGGUCAGCAACAUGGCAGAGACUGCACUUGCUCAAAGCCUGAAGGAUGUUGGGAGGUGGAGUGAAGAGGCCAUCCCGCUUCUCAGACACGCCAUUGAUGAUGAGUGAUCAGCUCUAGCAGAGACCACAUGUGAAGGUUUCUUGAGUAACACAGAGAAGUGGAGGAAAAUGGCAGAGCUCAUCCUAUGGCAGAGGUGGAAGAAGGAGCCCGGUGCCACGUGACCAGUGCCCUGGCUUGCAGAAGGAGUGUGAAACAAGUGAGUUAAGGUGGGAACGAGUACUUCUUUCUUUCUCCUCUUCCGCCAUGAAAUAGCAACUUCUAAAAAAGGGGUGCUGCAGAUGGUGAAGUCUUAAAUUACCACGGUGAGCUUUGCCGGAGGGCGUCUCUGGUCCCCUUAGAUGGAGCCCGUCUGCAGCUGAUUCACAGAAGGUCACGUUUGCCUGUCCUGCCCUACUCCUGAGCUUACUCAUGUAGUCAGCGCGGCUGACAGGGAUGAAAGAGCGGAACUGCUUGAACACAUUUGAUAUGGCUCUAGACAGGCAGACUGAUUUGCAAACUCAAAGCACAGGAGAGACUGAGAGCGAUUGCAGCGGAUUACUAAUUAGCUCGGAAACACAGAGGCGAGGCGUGAGGGAGGAACGUGGCUGCAGCUGAGUGGAAAGGUCAAUCUGAAAAGGAACAAACAGCGAGAACAGAGCAAAAGACUGUAGCUGGGAAACAGCCAGAGAUGUGUGGUGUCAGAAUUUGUGUGAUGGUCAAACAACAGCCUUCAAAGGAGUAGCCUAGCAGUACUGUGAGGCAGGUUUGUUAACAGCGUCAGGAGCUGAGCGUGCUGUGAUGCCUGGGGUACUGCUCAAGGCUAGAGGUGGCAGGGAAGAGGAAAUGUGAAACUCGCAAAUAUCUUUCUGUCCUAUUUGGCUGAUAAAGGUACCUGUCUACUUUCUAUCAUUUGCUGCCUUUCAGAAGACUUGCAUGUUACUGUUUCUCAGCCAGCAGCCCAGUCAGCAGGUAUUUCAGAAUAACAGAAAUUAUUUCAGCUAACUGGAGAAAUACAUACUUCUAUGCACCAGGUAACUUCAAAGACAAUUCUGUCAAUAGGGACAGCGUAUUUCCAGCGAGUCUGAGACAUUUAAAAGUAGUAGGGCUGCAGAGUUCAUUCCAACUGGAAGCUCAGGAAGCACAACAUAAGUAGCACGUUGCCAGCCCGUCAGCUGAAGCAUGGUGAUGUGCCUGUGCUUGUGGAAUGGCUGAUAUUUUCAUAGCAGAAAUGACUGACAGAGCAACGCUGUCCACAGCUCCAGGCUGCACUGCUACAGGAUGAGUUUCGAUGGCUUGAACUACUGCUGAAAUCCCUUUCUCUGUUCUAUCAAGAAAGACACUGAUCUGAAUUUAGCUAACAGUUUUUAGGCCACACUUAUACUGCACUCAGAGAGGAUCGAUUGAUUUAUUUAUAGCAGUAGUUCAAAAUUUUUGGAGUUGGAAAUUUCCUUGUCUUUCUCAUAACAAAUCAACAUCAAUACAAAUGCUAAGAGAACAUCAUCAAAAGAAAAGAAAAAAAGAAAAAAGAAAAAACUUGAAGCUAGACUCUUAGAUAGAUUUUACUUUCCAAUUGUAUGUUAUAAAUGUCCAAAACAGGUUGGAGAGAACUCCUCUACGCCUAGGUAAGUAAUAGGUGAAUUACACAGUAGUAGAUAUAUUUAAGGUUUGAAGACUAUCUGCUCUGGAACAUCCCUAACUACAGUGAAAUGCACAGAUAAUUACUUUCACAGUUUAGGGUGAGAAAUAAAAGAAAGGAAAAACUUCCUUCCGGCUAAAAUUGGUAAGGGGCAUAGUCAGAUAAACAAAAUAAAAACUUAACAGCACUCUUGGCCAGGACACCAGGCCUAUUGAUUAUGCAGCUGUGAACAUGCAAAGCCAGAGCUUCAGAAAGAGAUUUUUAAAACCACAGACCAAAGGUAACAGGCUCCAAAGUGCUAGCCCCUACACGCUCUAUACAGGACAGUUAUUUAGGGCAAACCCAGGUGCAUAACUGUGAAGGACGCAUACCUUGAACUUUCUUCCAGUACUGUUCUCAUAUCCCCCUCUGUUUUUGCCCUCAGAGAGAUUUAUAUUCCUUCAGCUUAAGUGGCACUUGAGUGUAGAGUGGAGGAGCUGGUAGCUGAUAUGGCCAUGAACAAGACAGGUGGUGACUUUAGAAGGAGGCUCGCUCUCCACUGUCCAUGGGCUUGGGGCAGGAGAAUUAGGCUAAUCUUGUACAACCUCUACUCCUUUCAUUUCUUACACAGAUUCAUUCACCUUUUAUCUUGCAUGAAAUGCAGGGGAUGCUCUUGGAAUACCAGGGCAGCCAUUGAACAGUAUCAAAGAACCAAGAGGCAUACCCUGCAAUACCAACCAGCUUUGACAAUGGGGAGAAGGGACUACUCCACAUCUAUAAAUAUUUAGGAUUAUUCAUCAAUUCUUUUCAUUUUGCAGGUCCUUUUCUUCUGCGUUCUCAUAGCUUAAUGCCUCCACUGGACUGCUUCCGAAGGAGCAGUCUUUCUGCAGGUGCAGUGUUGUAACAGCUGUGAAACAUUAGUCACCGUUUUAUCAGUGUUAAAACGUUCAAGACAAUGCUUCUAAGAGCACUAUCACUCAACAUACUAUCUAGUAAUUCUAUUGCAACAAGUCAGAAGAUUGAAUAAAACCUUCCAUUCAUGUUGCUCAUCUUGUUCUGUACCCGUGACUGGAGAUCAGCAAGUCUGAGUAAACCCCUUCCAGCUGUAAGCUCUGUGUGUUUAUACUGCAACAGUUCAGUAAAUCCAUUCAGCUUCCAGUAAGAAAUGUCUUUGUUUAUGGCUCUUUUACGAUACUCCCAAUCACCGUCAAAGGAUUCUACAGAAAUAUUUUUAAAAGAUUCAGUUCUGACUUAAUCAAUGCCAUUGUAGAUCAGGAAUAACUCCAUUAAGCUGAUAUGAUGUAAAAUCUAGUUUAUAUUUGCAUGCAGCAGUGAUGUGAGCCUUCUGAAAACUUAGGAGUUCAGAUACACUUAUGGCAAGUCCUGUGUAUGAUAAUUUACUUAAUGAACAUACUGAUGCCCAUGUUAUCUCAACUAAAUUGAGUAGUUGAGACUAAACUCUGAACCCCCUGAAAUCUUGACAAGUAUUGCCAUAGAUAUAGCUGACUCAGGAUUUCACAGAAUACAUAUUUAUUAGGGACUGCUGUUAAGAGAAUUCUCCCGUGUUUUAAAUCACUCUGCAGUGGUGAAUAAUUAAUACUCAGAAAAAGUUCAAUAUUUCUUUCUGCAAGUAGGCCAAGCCACCAGCCUACUGGAUUUGAAGAUGCAGCUCAAAUAUGCAUAAUCUCCUAUUUCAACAGUAUCGCCUGCACUUGCAGCAGAGCACUGCACACUCACUCUCUCUUCCUUGCCUCCGUAGUUUCUUUACUGUGGAAAAGAGUUUACACCUAACAAUGACAUUAAAACAGGAGUUAGUUACUGUACGUGUUUGCACGCCAGAAGCAGCUGCUGUCAGUAUGAAAGGGGAAAGGAAGUGAGGAGAUCCUGCACUGCUCUGGAAAAUACAGGUGCUGAGAGGAAACUUUUAUCCAGAAGAGUUUGUCAAAGAUAAGGGCAUAGGAAAGGAGAAAAGCGAUGAAGAACACUUCAGAGAUAAAAACAUUAGCUCCAGCCCAAUCUCCAGUAAAUAAAUUUACAUCUCUAACUGCUGCUUAUGACUAUCCAGAGAGAGGUACCACGUGAAUGGGAGGAGAGCAGAGCUAACCUCACCUCUGUGACUGUGAGCAGAGGUCCAGGAACAAGUCUGGUUUCCUAGACAGAAAGGCCCUUUGCAACGUGGUGAACUGCCCUCACAAUGCUACUAACAGUGGCAUUUACUCUUCAUGUGGAUCUCAACUCUACCAGCAGCCUAUAACACCACAGCAAGUGACCUCCAAGGGGUCUACUGAGCCUCAUUGAGCAAUGAAAACAUGAUGACCUUGAUCAAAUAUCUCAGCUGUGGUGAACAUCAAAUAACAGAAAUUGCAAAGGUUGACAAUUAUUUGAGGGACAAAAAGUCUGGAGAUUUUGUAUCAGUAGAAUUCUAACGGCUUCAACAGAAUGCUCUUGAUUUAAGUUGGAAUAAUUGAAAAAUUAAUCACAUCUACAUAUCACCAGAAGAAAGGAGAAAUAAACCAUCUUGGAAUUUGUAGUUCACUAUAAUCUGAAGUAGAGAAGUCCUUGGAGAAAUCCAGUCUAAAACAAUGCCAAACCUCAGCACCGUAUUAGGAAACAAAUAUCUUUACGCUACAGACCAGUUGUUAUUCCAGAGUUGCUUCCUGGCUGAAGCACAACAUGCUUUGUUACUCCAUGCUCACCUGUGUGUAUACAACAGGUUUGGCUACAGAUGAAUGCAUAUAAAGAGUUGGAAGAGAUCACGUUCAGUGCUUUGUCCUUCGUUCUGGUGAGGUGCACUUCUGUUUCCCUACUGAGAGCUCCUAGGCACAUGGAAGCUGUAAGGCCAACCACCUAACCAUAGGAGGGAUGGGAUCGCUGGCAAACAACACAUCCUGCUUCACCUCAAGCACCCUCCACUCUCCAGAAGGUACUUUCCUGCACAUGGCUGAGGAGCUGCUGGAAGACUGAAGGGGCACUCUCUUCAGCUGUGGGGCUGCCCCACCCCCAGUGCUGCUCUUCUGGCACCCAGCUCCUCCCAUGCUCCUUGUGCAGCUGGUGGCCCAGGAAGGAGCCAGCAUUGCCUCAAAUGGAACAGAGAGCAUCAGGCUGUUUUCUCUUUAAAAGAAGAACAAAAAAAAAAAACAAAAAAAAAACCAAAAACUAGGCUUUCCCCUUUGUUUCUGCCUUCCUGACUCCCUGGUUCAUGUCCUUCAUUAAGGCGUCUUUCUCAGUCAAGUUCUGCAAGGGCCUUCUAGCAAAAAAGAAUUGUCCACUGUGGGAUACCCAGUGUUUCCAGUAAUCCCAUCACUGGCAAAAGCUGCAGACAUAAAGUUAAUUCUCUCAUGGAGGUGCUAAGAAGACAUAGCUACUCAUGAUGGAGGACCUGGAAAACUUGCCAGCCCAAAUGUUCCUACAAUUUCAAGUACUUGAUGAUAAUCAUAA
ensembl:lncRNA